AUUGAACGCUGGCGGCAGGCCUAACACAUGCAAGUCGAGCGGAUGAAGGGAGCUUGCUCCUGGAUUCAGCGGCGGACGGGUGAGUAAUGCCUAGGAAUCUGCCUGGUAGUGGGGGAUAACGUCCGGAAACGGGCGCUAAUACCGCAUACGUCCUGAGGGAGAAAGUGGGGGAUCUUCGGACCUCACGCUAUCAGAUGAGCCUAGGUCGGAUUAGCUAGUUGGUGGGGUAAAGGCCUACCAAGGCGACGAUCCGUAACUGGUCUGAGAGGAUGAUCAGUCAACACGGGACCUGAGACACGGUCCGGCCCCCUCGGGGAGGCAGCACGGGGAAUAAUGGACCAUGGGGGGAAACCCUGUCCAAGCCAGGCGGCUGUUGGGAAGAAGUUUUCCGGAUUGUAAGCACCUUUAGUUGGGGGGGAAGGCAAUUAGUUUAAUCCUUGCUUUUUUGACGUUACCAACAGAAUAAGCACCGGCUAACUUCGUG
rnacentral:rRNA from 1 species